GUCUAUGGCCAUACCACUCUGAAUACACCCAAUCUCCUCUGAUCUCAGAAGCUAAGUAGGGUGAAGGCCUGGUUAGUACUUGGGCAGGAGAAAUUGACU
rnacentral:rRNA from 1 species